CUAUCUAGUAUAUGUAAGAUAUCUAUGCUCCAGAUAUGUAUAGAGCUCACUGGAUAUAGACGCCAGCUAUGGUGUAGAAGGAAUGUAUGCAAAUGAUAUAGGCGACACAGAUAAAACGAUCAGGUUGUUGCAAUAUUGAUGAUAACAGGAUUGAACAAUGUUGUGCGGCCCACAUUGUUCACAGUUGUCAACAAUAUUGAACAAUAUUGUUACACCCGAUUCAGGC